UAAGUAGUUCUCGUAGGUGACCUGCGGAAGGAUCAUUACUGAGCGCGAAGCCACGCAGGACGCUUGUCCUGCGCGGCUGACCCUCCACCCGUGUGAACUGGAUUUGUUGCUUUGGCGGGCCGGGCUCGACCUACCGGCUCCGGCUGGGGAGUGCCCGCCAGAGAAGCCCCAACUCGUGCAGUUAGUGCAGUCUGAGAAAAACUUAAUAAGUAAAACUUUCAACAACGGAUCUCUUGGCUCUGGCAUCGAUGAAAAACGCAGCGAAAUGCGAUAAGUAAUGUGAAUUGCAGAAUUUAGUGAAUCAUCGAAUCUUUGAACGCACAUUGCGCCCCCCGGUAUUCCGAGGGGCAUGCCUGUUCGAGCGCCUCAACAUCCUCUCAAGCCUGGCUUGGUCUUGGGGCGCGCCGGCUCGGCGUCCCCUAAACAGAGUGGCGGUACCGUUGUGCUCUCCGCGUAGUCACGUAUCUCGCGACAGAGCGACGACGGGACCUGCCAAAACCCACCUAUUUUUUUGGAUGACCUCGGAUCAGGUAGGGAUACCCGCUGAACUUAAACAUAUCAA
rnacentral:rRNA from 1 species